rnacentral:rRNA from 1 species
AGUGAAGCGGCAAAAGCUCAAAUUUGAAAUCUGGCACCUUCGGUGUCCGAGUUGUAAUUUGAAGAAGGUAACUUUGGAGUUGGCUCUUGUCUAUGUUCCUUGGAACAGGACGUCACAGAGGGUGAGAAUCCCGUGCGAUGAGAUGCCCAAUUCUAUGUAAAGUGCUUUCGAAGAGUCGAGUUGUUUGGGAAUGCAGCUCUAAGUGGGUGGUAAAUUCCAUCUAAAGCUAAAUAUUGGCGAGAGACCGAUAGCGAACAAGUACAGUGAUGGAAAGAUGAAAAGAACUUUGAAAAGAGAGUGAAAAAGUACGUGAAAUUGUUGAAAGGGAAGGGCUUGAGAUCAGACUUGGUAUUUUGCGAUCCUUUCCUUCUUGGUUGGGUUCCUCGCAGCUUACUGGGCCAGCAUCGGUUUGGAUGGUAGGAUAAUGACUAAGGAAUGUGGCUCUACUUCGGUGGAGUGUUAUAGCCUUGGUUGAUACUGCCUGUCUAGACCGAGGACUGCGUCUUUUGACUAGGAUGUUGGCAUAAUGAUCUUAAGCCACCCGUCUUG